rnacentral:siRNA from 1 species
GAUGGAUUAGGGGUGUUUAGACAA